rnacentral:rRNA from 1 species
AGAGUUUGAUCCUGGCUCAGAUUGAACGCUGGCGGCAUGCCUUACACAUGCAAGUCGAACGGCAGCACGGGAGCAAUCCUGGUGGCGAGUGGCGAACGGGGGUGAGUAAUAUAUCGGAACGUGCCCAGUCGUGGGGGAUAACGCAGCGAAAGCUGUGCUAAUACCGCAUACGAUCUCUGGAUGAAAGCGGGGGACUCGCAAGGGCCUCGCGCGAUUGGAGCGGCCGAUAUCAGAUUAGCUAGUUGGUGGGGUAAAAGCCCACCAAGGCGACGAUCUGUAGCUGGUCUGAGAGGACGACCAGCCACACUGGAACUGAGACACGGUCCAGACUCCUACGGGAGGCAGCAGUGGGGAAUUUUGGACAAUGGGCGCAAGCCUGAUCCAGCAAUGCCGCGUGCAGGAUGAAGGCCUUCGGGUUGUAAAGCUCUGUCAGUGGGGAAGAACCGCCUCUCUCUAAUAAAGGGGGAUAAUGACGGUACCGGAAGAAGAAGCACCGGCUAACUACGUGCCAGCAGCCGCGGUAAUACGUAGGGUGCGAGCGUUAAUCGGAAUUACUGGGCGUAAAGCGUGCGCAGGCGGCUUUAUAAGCCAGAUGUGAAAUCCCCGGGCUCAACCUGGGAACUGCAUUUGGAACUGUAAGACUAGAGUGUAGCAGAGGGGGGUAGAAUUCCACGUGUAGCAGUGAAAUGCGUAGAUAUGUGGAGGAAUACCAAUGGCGAAGGCAGCCCCCUGGGUUAACACUGACGCUCAUGCACGAAAGCGUGGGGAGCAAACAGGAUUAGAUACCCUGGUAGUCCACGCCCUAAACGAUGUCAACUAGGUGUUGGGGAAGGAGACUUCUUUAGUACCGCAGCUAACGCGAGAAGUUCGCCGCCUGGGGAGUACGGUCGCAAGAUUAAAACUCAAAGGAAUUGACGGGGACCCGCACAAGCGGUGGAUUAUGUGGAUUAAUUCGAUGCAACGCGAAAAACCUUACCUACCCUUGACAUGUCAGGAAGAUCGCAGAGAUGUGAUUGUGCCCGAAAGGGAAUCUGAACACAGGUGGUGCAUGGCUGUCGUCAGCUCGUGUCGUGAGAUGUUGGGUUAAGUCCCGCAACGAGCGCAACCCUUGUCUAGUUGCCAGCGGGUUAAGCCGGGCACUCUAAUGAGACUGCCGGUGACAAGCCGGAGGAAGGUGGGGAUGACGUCAAGUCCUCAUGGCCCUUAUAGGUGGGGCUACACACGUCAUACAAUGGCUGGUACAAAGGGUUGCCAACCCGCGAGGGGGAGCUAAUCCCACAAAGCCAGUCGUAGUCCGGAUCGUAGUCUGCAACUCGACUACGUGAAGUCGGAAUCGCUAGUAAUCGUGGAUCAGAAUGUCACGGUGAAUACGUUCCCGGGUCUUGUACACACCGCCCGUCACACCAUGGGAGCGGGUUCUGCCAGAAGUAGUUAGCCUAACCGCAAGGAGGGCGAUUACCACGGCAGGGUUCGUGACUGGGGUGAAGUCGUAACAAGGUAACC